GUGCUCACUCCAGCAGCACACAUACUAAAAUUGGAGCGAUACCGAGAAGGCUAGCACGACCCCUGUGCAAGGACGACACACAAACUCGUGAAGUGUUCCAUAUUUUC